rnacentral:tRNA from 1 species
GGGAAAGACACAAGAACUGCUAAUCCUUGACCUCGCCCCUAACAGAGCGACUUUCU